rnacentral:lncRNA from 1 species
UUUAGCCAAAAUGACUAAUAUUCAUCUAAAGUUUUACAAAAUAACCAAAAACAACAAUUAAUAAAUUAAAUAAAUAUUUUAAACUCUAUAUUUGACAUUUAAAAUUUCAUAGUACUUGAAAAUGUCAUAAACAUAAUAAUAAAUUUUGAUAAUAAAAAGAUAUUUCAACUAAACAUAAACUAAAAUAUUGAAAAUAAAACACAUGAAAUCAUAGUUUUUGAUAUUCAUAUUUUUAGGCCGGGCAUGAAAUCCAAGAAUUUUCCCAGGCCAAUCUUAGCUUCCCAUUAGACGUCAAACUUUCCCAAAACCAAAACACUUUAAUUUUUGAUUUCCUCUGAUGUCAAAUUCUUUUGAAAAAAAAAUCGAUCUUCUCUCAGUCUUCUCGUGUCGUUAUGUAACCUUACAGAACCUGAAACGAAUACUCUUAACUCGUUCCUUUGGAUUUAAUAACAUUUUUAAGUAUUAACCUGCUUCACUUGAAUCUUUUCAUCAGAUACUCCACCUGGAAUCAAGUUCACCUAACCUUGGCUCCGGAUGCCUAAAAGG